UACCUCAGUAACGGCGAGUGAAGCGGUAACAGCUCAAAUUUGAAAUCUGGCUCCUUCGGUGCCCGAGUUGUAAUUUGUAGAAGAUGCUUUGGGCGUGGCUCCGGUCUAAGUUCCUUGGAACAGGACGUCAUAGAGGGUGAGAAUCCCGUACGUGACUGGGUGCCUUCGUCCGUGUAAAGCUCUUUCGACGAGUCGAGUUGUUUGGGAAUGCAGCUCAAAAUGGGUGGUAAAUUUCAUCUAAAGCUAAAUAUUGGCCAGAGACCGAUAGCGCACAAGUAGAGUGAUCGAAAGAUGAAAAGCACUUUGGAAAGAGAGUUAAACAGUACGUGAAAUUGUUGAAAGGGAAGCGCUUGCAACCAGACUUGCACGUAGUUGAUCAUCCGAGGUUUUCCCCGGUGCACUCGAUUGCGUUCAGGCCAGCAUCGGUUUGGGUGGUUGGAUAAAGGCCUUGGGAAUGUAGCUCCUCUCGGGGAGUGUUAUAGCCCUCGGUGCAAUGCAGCCUAUCCGGACCGAGGACCGCGCUUCGGCUAGGAUGCUGGCGUAAUGGUUGUAAGCGACCCGUCUUGAAACACGGACCAAGGAGUCUAACAUCUAUGCGAGUGUUUGGGUGUCAAACCCAUACGCGUAAUGAAAGUGAACGGAGGUGAGAACGCUUAAGCGUGCAUCAUCGACCGAUCCUGAUGUCUUCGGAUGGAUUUGAGUAAGAGCAUAGCUGUUGGGACCCGAAAGAUGGUGAACUAUGCCUGAAUAGGGUGAAGCCAGAGGAAACUCUGGUGGAGGCUCGCAGCGGUUCUGACGUGCAAAUCGAUCGUCAAAUUUGGGUAUAGGGGCGAAAGACUAAUCGAACCAUCUAGUAGCUGGUUCCUGCCG
rnacentral:rRNA from 1 species